GUAUCCUACGGGGGGCAGCAGUGGGGAAUAUUGCGCAAUGGACGAAAGUCUGACGCAGCGACGCCGCGUGAGGGAUGAAGGUUUUCGGAUCGUAAACCUCUGUCAGGAGGGAAGAAAGCGCAUGGCGCCGAUCAGCCAUGCGUUGACGGUACCUCCAAAGGAAGCGCCGGCUACCUCCGUGCCAGCAGCCGCGGUAAUACGGAGGGCGCGAGCGUUAAUCGGAAUUACUGGGCGUAAAGCGCGCGUAGGCUGUUGUGUAAGUUGGCGGUGAAAUCCCACGGCUCAACCCGUGAA
rnacentral:rRNA from 1 species